UGGAAUUAGUUCUGAGAUAGAAUUUAAAAGAAAGGGUAUAGUCCCAUUGAGUUCUAGACGGAAUUUGGAUUACAAGCACUGGUUCUUACCCCUUUAGAUUAUUGAUCCUAUUUGGUAGUCUAUUGAUUCCGUUUCUGAAUUUAUCCAAGCUCAGUUUGUUCUAUUUGGGUGUCCGUAUUGCUGUUUGGUUCUACAAAUCAGUGUGGUCUUUGGUUUGAGUGUAUUUUGAUUCAAAGAGUGGUAUUGCUGUGUUGGUUUUGUUU
rnacentral:lncRNA from 1 species